rnacentral:rRNA from 1 species
UACGUAGGGUGCGAGCGUUAAUCGGAAUUACUGGGCGUAAAGCGUGCGCAGGCGGUUCGUUGUGUCGGCGGUGAAAGCCCCGGGCUUAACCUGGGAAUGGCCGUUGAAACUGGCGAACUGGAGUGUGGCAGAGGGGGGUGGAAUUCCGCGUGUAGCAGUGAAAUGCGUAGAGAUGCGGAGGAACACCGAUGGCGAAGGCAGCCCCCUGGGUCAAGACUGACGCUCAUGCACGAAAGCGUGGGGAGCAAACAGG